AAAGUGAUCGAGUGUGCUCUCCCAAUUAUUUCCCUUCCAUUUUAUAUGCAGAAACAAUUGUAAAACUUUUGCUUAGAGUUUUAAUGCACACACUGUUGAAACCAAACAUUUUGUUUUUGUGAAAAAGACAUCAUGAAUAAUAACCAGUAGUGAUUCAUUGGUUUCGUAAAGGCCUUCGCCUGCACGACAAUCCAGCACUUUUGAAUGCCCUCGAGAAGGUUGGCGAAAGAAUUUAUGAAUUGAGGCCUGUCAAAUUCAUUCUGGACCCAUGGUUUUUCAAGAAUGCCAGAAUGCCAAGGUUGGUCGUAAUCGAUGGAGGUUUCUCAUUCAAAGCCUUCAGGACCUGGAUGACAAUUUGAAGAAGAUUGGCUCUUGUUUGUUCAUACUUAAGGGAUCAUCAACAGAAAUGUUCAAGAAAUACUUCAAAGAAUGGAACGUCAAGAAAUUGACAUUUGAGGUUGACAUAGAGCCUUAUGCCAAAACACGAGAUGAAGAGAUUAAAAAGCUUGCUGACCAUCACUCUGUCCCUGUGGUCGCCAAAGUUUCUCACACCAUUUAUGACCUGUAAAAGGUUUUUAAGGCGAAUGGUAAUAAAGCUCCAUUGACAUAUGUAAAAUUUCAAUCUGUUGUGGCCAAAUUUGGAGCACCUGAAAAGGCAUUGAAUGCUCCUGGAAAAUUGCCCAAACAGUGUCAAACUUUGCUUUUAUCUGACAAGUAGGGGAGACCGGGGCUAUGUGGGACAUUUUUUUCCUUUACGCUGCCAUUUAUAUAAAAAUAAAAAUUCUGAAAAAAUUAAAGUAUAGGGGUGAUUCCCUGGCAUUUAUUUACAUUUGGUAAUUUUCUGAAUUUUUUUCGUUGAUUCGUUUAUGAGUUAUGUGAUGAAAUGCCAACAUGAAAAAAUGCCGAAAAACAAAAAAUUUAGGGUUAAACGGAACAGAGCCAGGGGUAAAAU